rnacentral:tRNA from 1 species
GAGGCUUUAGCUUAAGUAAAGUGUCUGAGUUGCAUUCAGUGGAUGUAGUUUAUGUUCUACAGGCCUUC